rnacentral:rRNA from 1 species
AGAGUUUGAUCCUGGCUCAGGAUGAACGCUGGCGGCGUGCUUAACACAUGCAAGUCGAACGGUGAAGCAGAGCUUGCUCUGUGGAUCAGUGGCGAACGGGUGAGUAACACGUGAGCAAUCUGCCCCUGACUCUGGGAUAAGCGCUGGAAACGGCGUCUAAUACCGGAUACGAGCUGCGAAGGCAUCUUCAGCAGCUGGAAAGAAUUUCGGUCAGGGAUGAGCUCGCGGCCUAUCAGCUUGUUGGUGAGGUAACGGCUCACCAAGGCGUCGACGGGUAGCCGGCCUGAGAGGGUGACCGGCCACACUGGGACUGAGACACGGCCCAGACUCCUACGGGAGGCAGCAGUGGGGAAUAUUGCACAAUGGGCGAAAGCCUGAUGCAGCAACGCCGCGUGAGGGACGACGGCCUUCGGGUUGUAAACCUCUUUUAGCAGGAAAGAAGCGAAAGUGACGGUACCUGCAGAAAAAGCGCCGGCUAACUACGUGCCAGCAGCCGCGGUAAUACGUAGGGCGCAAGCGUUAUCCGGAAUUAUUGGGCGUAAAGAGCUCGUAGGCGGUCUGUCGCGUCUGCUGUGAAAACCCGAGGCUCAACCUCGGGCCUGCAGUGGGUACGGGCAGACUAGAGUGCGGUAGGGGAGAUUGGAAUUCCUGGUGUAGCGGUGGAAUGCGCAGAUAUCAGGAGGAACACCGAUGGCGAAGGCAGAUCUCUGGGCCGUAACUGACGCUGAGGAGCGAAAGGGUGGGGAGCAAACAGGCUUAGAUACCCUGGUAGUCCACCCCGUAAACGUUGGGAACUAGUUGUGGGGUCCAUUCCACGGAUUCCGUGACGCAGCUAACGCAUUAAGUUCCCCGCCUGGGGAGUACGGCCGCAAGGCUAAAACUCAAAGGAAUUGACGGGGACCCGCACAAGCGGCGGAGCAUGCGGAUUAAUUCGAUGCAACGCGAAGAACCUUACCAAGGCUUGACAUAUACGAGAACGGGCCAGAAAUGGUCAACUCUUUGGACACUCGUAAACAGGUGGUGCAUGGUUGUCGUCAGCUCGUGUCGUGAGAUGUUGGGUUAAGUCCC